GAGAAAGAAUAGGGAGUUAAAAAGCUAAAGAACAGUUAAACAUGGAUGUUAAUUUUAGAUGGUUCUCGUAAGCGAGCAUCAUUCUUUGGUUGUAUAUUCAAAUCAAUCCCAAGGUUAUUCUUUGAGUUCAAAUCUGACAUGGUCAAAGAGUUCAAUGAUAGACCUUGAUUAGCUAAUAGAAACCAUAAAUGUGAUACUUCACUCCUUUUUCACAUGGACAGAAACUUUGAGCCGAA
rnacentral:lncRNA from 1 species